GAGACGUCUUUACUUUGUUAUCUUAAAGCUUUGCUUACCUGAGGCAGCGCUAAUCUCUGAAAUGGGUCCCAGGGCUCCUCUCCCCCAGCUUUUCCCAUCCCCACUCUCAGUGGGCAGAAGGAUUGGACAUGGCCACUCUUGUGUCCUCCGCCUUCCUGGGGAGUGGCCACUUCAGGACGGGGCAGUUCAGCCAGGUGAGACUCGCCAGCCUCCUUCUGCUUCUGCGAUUUGGUUUAAUCAUAUGCCACAGGGGCUCACCGCUGUGGACCAGUUCUACGGUAUGGGAACCGCCUCCUUUCGCUGUCUGGGGAGCCGUCUGCAGGCUUUGUGGGAUCCUAUUGGUCAUUCCCUCCUGGGCGGGGCCUGAAACCUCUCCUGGGCGGGGCCUGAAACCUCUCCUGGGCGGGGCCUGAAACCUCUCCCGUGGGUCUCUUCGUCCUUCACCAUCUCUCCUUCAGCGAGCAAAUGGUUUUUGUUCCUUUUUUCUGCCCCCUUCCCUCAAGUGUUUAUUCAUGAAAAUUAUUAGCUCUUUGCAAGUAUAAUAAUUUUGCCUUUUCUCUAGUUUCCUUCCAGCUUGAUGAAUCGCCAAUGGUGAGUUUGGAAGCCCCAGCUGCCCCAACCCACCCUGCCCCUGCAGCCAGCGUGAGGGGCUUCUUUUUACCUCUUCCCCUUUUUCCUCCUUUGCUCAUAGCAGGUGGGAGAAAAAGGGGCCAGUGUGAGAAUCCUCAGGAUUUGUUCGCUCCUACUUUAUUUGGGGGGUGUUUUCUGGUUAGAAACUUCUCUAGACCAAGCCCAGAAGCUUACCCAGGCCAAGCUGGCUGUUCUAUUUCUUUCACUGACCAUUUCUUUCUUUUUUUUUUUUUUUUUUUUUUUUUUUGUUUGUUUGUUUUGUUUUUUUGCUAUUUCUUGGGCCGCUCCUGUGGCAUAUGGAGAUUCCCAGGCUAGGGGUCCAAUCGGAGCUGUAGCCACUGGCCUACACCAGAGCCACAGCAAUGCGGGAUCUGAGCCACGUCUGCAACCUACACCACAGCUCACAGCAACGCCGGAUCCUUAACCCACUGAGCAAGGGCAGGGACCGAACCCGAAACCUUAUGGUUCCUAGUCUGAUUCGUUAACCACUGCGCCACGACGGGAACUCCUCACUGAGCAUUUCUUUUCAGAGAUGAUGGCUUUCAGUUAACCUUUCUCCUCAUGGGCUGCCUGAUGACCAGUUGUGUUUGUGUUUCUUGCCAUUCUUGUCAUUGGCUAUUGGUAGAAGUGGCCCAGCCAUCUUUUCCUGCAAGUUCUGAAUAUUAUUUUCUAUAUAAUAUUCUCAAAGAUUUUUAAUAUCCUCUUCUCUAGAAGUGCCAUGGUCUUGACUAGCCUGUGGAAGUGUUCACUGUACCACCCACAUGGUGGUGGCAGGAAUUAAAAGUAGUGUGUCCAGAGUUCCACUGUGGCCUAGCAGGUUAAGGACUCCAUGUUGUUUCUAUGAGGAUGCAGGUUCAAUCCCGGGCUAGGGGUCUAAUCAGUGCUAUAGCCGGUGGCCUACGCCAGAGCCACAGCAACGCGGGAUCUGAGCCGCAUCUGCGAUGCAACCACAGCUCACGGCAACGCCAGAUCCUCAACCCACUGAGCGAAGCCAGGGAUCGAACCUGAAACCUCGUGGUUCCUAGUCGGAUUCCUUAACCACUGAGCCACGAUGGGAACUCCUUUCCUUUAGUUUUAAUCUCCCGGAUACCAUAUCGAUCUCCUCAGAGGGAGACAUUUAAGCUGAAAUGAAAAAUCAAAGUGAAAAGAAGUGGUCUUUUCCUGUGGUGCAGCAGAAUAAGGAUCUGGCAUUGUCACUGCAGUGGCUAGGGUCACGGCUGUGGCACAGCUUCAUUCUCUGGCCUAGGAACUUCCACAAAAAAAAAAAAAAAAAAAAAAAAA
rnacentral:lncRNA from 1 species